CCUACGGGAUGCAGCCGUGAGGAAUAUUGGUCAAUGGGCGCGAGCCUGAACCAGCCAAGUCGCGUGAGGGCUGAAGGUUCUAUGGAUCGUAAACCUCUUUUAUAAGGGAAUAAAGUGUGGGACGUGUCCUAUUUUGUAUGUACCUUAUGAAUAAGGAUCGGCUAACUCCGUGCCAGCAGCCGCGUUAAUACGGAGGAUCCGAGCGUUAUCCGGAUUUAUUGGGUUUAAAGGGUGCGUAGGCGGCCUUUUAAGUCAGCGGUGAAAGUCUGUGGCUCAACCAGAGAAUUGCCGUUGAAACUGGGGGGCUUGAGUAUGUUUGAGGCAGGCGGAAUGCGUGGUGUAGCGGUGAAAUGCUUAGAUAUCACGCAGAACCCUGAUUGCGAAGGCAGCCUGCUAAGCCAUGACUGACGCUGAUGCACGAAAGCGUGGGGAUCAAACAGGAUUAGAUACCCUUGUAGUC
rnacentral:rRNA from 1 species